UUGUAGUAACCAAAAUUCUUAAAGUUUGCUAAGUUAUAUAGACAUAUUUUGUGCCUAAUAAGAAAUUGUGCUAUAAAGCACAUUUCCAAAAAUGAUAAUAUACGUUCAUAAAUGUAUUAAUCUGAAGAAUGCUAGUGUAACAGUUUACAGUAGCCUAUUUUUCAGUGUUCACUGAAGGUUAAAGUAAUAGUUUUAAGUUCUGAUCAAAACUACUUAAAGUGGUAAGGAAAAGAUUUCUGCAUGCUAAAAAAUAUGUCUUUUGAUAAAAGAAAGUUGUGAAAAGUUUGUAGAAGAAUUUAAUAUGGUCAUGCUAUAUAAAAUUAAAGCAAAUGAGUCUCAGUUUCAAGUACACAGCAAAAUUACAAUUUUGUUUUCAGUUAAAAAGACAAAGUUUUCUUAACUCUGCUCUUAAUAUUGAAAGAUUGCAGAAAGUUCCUCUAAUUGUUUUAUCAAAGCAGUUUCUUAUGCUUAAAGUCUCAGUGAGUUGUCGGAGUCUUUAAGAAAAUGAGAUCUUAAUAUUAAGAGGACUAAAAGCUAAACUUUGAUAACAUCUGUGUAACCUUUAUUUGCCUUUGAAGUACUUUGUUGUCAUUCUAGUUAAUUAGAUAAGUGUUGCUUCAUAGCAACCUAUAGUCCUAUUUAAGCAAGUGUCUUAAAACUUUUAACAAUUUCCCAAAAUCAAAUUCAAAAAAGUGCUUUUGCCUCUAGUUAACUCUGAUAUUUUCCAGAGAACCCCUAGAACAUGUCAGAAAAACUUUUUCUCAUUAGAGAAAGUAUUUAGCUAAUUUAGCUUAUUUAUCUGAUAUAUAAUUACCUACUUAAUUGCCUGGAGGGCACUGUCAAAAAGAAUGAUGCUGAACUUUGUUACUGAAUGUUUUGUGUUACAGAAAUAUCAGAAUUUCCUUAUGUCAACUGUCUUACAGUAAGCUCUCAUCAGAUCUUUAACCAUUGUCAUUUGUUCCUCCAACAGCGGCUAACCCAGAUGACCCGAGUCGCCACCAACCAGAUGUUACUUCACCAUUACGCACCUCUUCCCACUGAACCCCCUCCUUCAGCCUAAUACCAGCCUCAAACCCCCACGACGCCCCUUGUCAGCCGGAAGUAGCCAGAUUGAGUCGUCACCCAUUAUGACCAAAAGGCUGGAAUGUUAGACUGGAGAAAGGAAAAACAAGGACAUGCAAACAGAACAGAGAGAUGCCAUAGGGGGAGAACAGACCAGACCCCAAAGUCCGUGCCAUAUAUGGAAAGGGGACAGCUCUUCCUGAAUUCCAUCCUGAUGUGCCAACUAAGACCCGGAUGUCAGCCUCCUCCCUCUUGGAAGGAAAAAAAGUUUCUAGUUGUCUAUUAUGUCACCUUUAGCCAAUCAUACCUCUCCACACCCCCUAGGAUAGCUUGCCCACUCCUCCCCCUCCUAAUCCCUUAUAAGCCCCCCACCUCCCCAACCGGGUGUGACUUCUCUGGCCUGUGACAAGAAGGCCACAGAACCUCACCUGGGGGUAUUUAAAUAAAUUACCUGGCCCUU